rnacentral:rRNA from 1 species
AUGGACGCCAGCAAGCUGAAGAAGGUGGCCGGGAAGAAGUUCGGCGGGCCGAGGAAGAAGUCGGUGACCAGGUCCGUCAAGGCCGGCCUCCAGUUCCCCGUCGGCCGCAUUGGGCGCUUCCUCAAGAAGGGCCGCUACGCCCAGCGCGUCGGCUCCGGCGCCCCCGUCUACCUCGCCGCCGUCCUCGAGUACCUCGCCGCCGAGGUGCUGGAGCUGGCCGGGAACGCCGCCAAGGACAACAAGAAGACCCGCAUCGUGCCCAGGCACCUGCUGCUGGCCAUCCGCAACGACCAGGAGCUCGGGAGGCUGCUGUCCGGCGUCACCAUCGCCCACGGCGGCGUCAUCCCCAACAUCAACCCGGUGCUGCUCCCCAAGAAGACCGCUGAGAAGGCCGAGAAGACCGCCGCCAAGUCGCCCAAGAAGGCCACCAAGUCCCCCAAGAAGGCCACCAAGGCCUAG